GUAGCUUGCUACUUUGCUGACGAGCGGCGGACGGGUGAGUAAUGCUUGGGAAUAUGCCUUUUGGUGGGGGACAACAGUUGGAAACGACUGCUAAUACCGCAUGAUGUCUACGGACCAAAGUGGGGGACCUUCGGGCCUCACGCCAAAAGAUUAGCCCAAGUGGGAUUAGCUAGUUGGUAAGGUAAUGGCUUACCAAGGCGACGAUCCCUAGCUGGUUUGAGAGGAUGAUCAGCCACACUGGGACUGAGACACGGCCCAGACUCCUACGGGAGGCAGCAGUGGGGAAUAUUGCACAAUGGGCGCAAGCCUGAUGCAGCCAUGCCGCGUGUGUGAAGAAGGCCUUCGGGUUGUAAAGCACUUUCAGUAAGGAGGAAAGGUUAAGUUUUAAUAGAGCUUAGCUGUGACGUUACUUACAGAAGAAGCACCGGCUAACUCCGUGCCAGCAGCCGCGGUAAUACGGAGGGUGCGAGCGUUAAUCGGAAUUACUGGGCGUAAAGCGUACGCAGGCGGUUUGUUAAGCGAGAUGUGAAAGCCCCGGGCUCAACCUGGGAACUGCAUUUCGAACUGGCAAACUAGAGUGUGAUAGAGGGUGGUAGAAUUUCAGGUGUAGCGGUGA
rnacentral:rRNA from 1 species